rnacentral:lncRNA from 1 species
GUGGGUGCCGAGGCAUUGUCACCCCUGAGCAUUGCCUAGGCAUUUCUCGUGGCCCGCUAGAGACCAGUCCCACUCCCUUGUCCCCUCCUUCCCCUGCACUCUCUAAGAAGUUCAUCUGCUCCUUCCAGGACUGUAUGUAGCACCAAUUACAAUAAGGUCCAGAUGCUUGAAGAGCACCUAUGCAAGCACACGAGGAAGAGACCAUUCAUUUGUGACUAUGAAGGGUGUGGCAAGAUUUUCCUCAGGGUCUACCACCUGAGUCACAACAUCCUGAUUCAUAUGGGAGAAAAGCUGUUUAUGCACUAGUGGCUGUGACAGAAAAUUCAACACAAAAUCAAACUUGAAGAAAUAUUUUGAACACAAAGAUGAGAUUCAGCAAACAACAUAUAUGCAAUUUUGAAGGCUGUAAAAAGAUCUUUAAGGAUCAGUAGCUGAAAAUCCAUCAGUGCCAGCAUACCAAUGAACCCAGAAAGGAUGUGGGAAAUACUGCCUGACCCAGCAGGCUGAAACGACACACGGAGGUUCAGGAGGGCUAGAUGUCAAAAGAGAUGUUCCUUUGUGGCAAAAACAUGGGUUGAACUUCUGAAAUAUGUGAGGAAAAAAAACCCAUAUAGAGGAAAUAACAUGUGAAUAUGGCAGAAAAUUUUUAAACACAAAGAUUAUCUUAAGCAAUAUAUGAAAACUCUUGCUCCAGAGAGAAAUAUUUGCCAAUGUUCAAGAGAAGGCUGUGGUAGAACCCACAUGACUGUAUUUAAUCUACAGAGCUGUAUCCUCUCUUUUCAUGAGGAAAGGCACCUAUUUGUGUGUGACCAUCCUGGCUGUGGCAAAAGGUCUGCAAUGAAAGUCUCACAUAGACAUACCAUUGCAACAAGAAGAAAAUUAAACUCAGAGUAAAACCAACUCAUGAAAAACGUUGGCCUCUGGUCUCAGUGGAUAUACCCCUUCUGAAAGGAAACAAAAAUAAGGUUUACCUUUGUCUAAAAAUAGAAAGACACUGAACUGUA